rnacentral:lncRNA from 1 species
GGUAGGACACGAGGUGGGAGCCGGAUGCUAGCCUCUCUAGCUGGCCGCAGGGCCUGCCGGUUGUCGGGUCUUGUUUGUCGUGGGGCCCGCCGCCGGUGUACAUCAACGGCUGACACACCGAGUCGUCAGGGCGCGGGCAAGGGGGAACGUAGCUAGAGGGCCAUCUCGGUCGGUUAGUGUCGUCGGUGACAGGGGCCGUGUAGCCUCGCCGAUC